UUCCUUGUUCUCUUAACGCCUCCCAGAU
rnacentral:sRNA from 1 species